rnacentral:rRNA from 1 species
UACGUAGGGUGCAAGCGUUGUCCGGAAUUAUUGGGCGUAAAGGGCUCGUAGGCGGUUUGUCGCGUCGGGAGUGAAAACUCAGGGCUUAACCCUGAGCCUGCUUCCGAUACGGGCAGACUAGAGGUAUGCAGGGGAGAAUGGAAUUCCUGGUGUAGCGGUGAAAUGCGCAGAUAUCAGGAGGAACACCGGUGGCGAAGGCGGUUCUCUGGGCAUUACCUGACGCUGAGGAGCGAAAGCAUGGGGAGCGAACAGG